UACAGAGGGUGCGAGCGUUAAUCGGAAUUACUGGGCGUAAAGCGCACGUAGUCGGCUUUGCAAGUCGGGUGUGAAAUCCCCGGGCUCAACCUGGGAACUGCAUCCGAGACUGCAUUGCUGGAGUAUGGGAGAGGGAAGCGGAAUUUCUGGUGUAGCAGUGAAAUGCGUAGAUAUCAGAAGGAACAUCAGUGGCGAAGGCGGCUUCCUGGACCAAUACUGACGAUCAGGUGCGAAAGCGUGGGGAGCAAACAGG
rnacentral:rRNA from 1 species